UCAGAACGCGCUCGGCCGCUGGGUGGGUCGGGGCGUUCGGCGCGCCCUUCAUUGAAGCGGCGGUGGCUGGGCUGGGCGCCGGGAGUGGGAAGCGACGGCGCGGCUGGAAAAUGCCAGUCCAUUCCCGAGGGGAUAAGAAGGAGACGAACCAUCACGAUGAGAUGGAGGUGGACUACGCCGAAAAUGAGGGGAGCAGCUCAGAGGACGAGGACACGGAGAGCUCGUCGGUCUCCGAGGAUGGAGAUAGCUCAGAAAUGGAUGAUGAAGACUGUGAAAGAAGAAGAAUGGAAUGCUUAGAUGAAAUGUCCAAUCUAGAAAAACAGUUUACCGAUCUCAAGGAUCAACUUUAUAAAGAACGAUUAAGUCAGGUGGAUGCAAAACUACAAGAAGUCAUAGCUGGAAAAGCACCAGAAUAUUUGGAACCACUGGCAACUUUACAAGAAAAUAUGCAAAUUCGUACAAAGGUAGCAGGAAUCUAUAGAGAGCUCUGCUUAGAAUCUGUAAAGAACAAAUAUGAAUGUGAAAUUCAAGCCUCUCGCCAGCAUUGUGAGAGUGAAAAGCUUUUGUUAUAUGAUACAGUCCAGAGUGAACUGGAGGAGAAGAUAAGAAGGCUUGAAGAGGAUAGGCACAGCAUUGAUAUUACCUCAGAGCUGUGGAAUGAUGAGCUUCAGUCAAGAAAAAAGAGGAAGGAUCCUUUCAGUCCUGACAAAAAGAAGCCAGUUGUUGUUUCAGGUCCAUAUAUAGUUUAUAUGCUACAAGAUCUUGAUAUUCUUGAAGACUGGACAACAAUUAGGAAGGCAAUGGCUACACUGGGUCCACACAGAGUGAAGACAGAACUUUUUGAACUGAUCCCUUUAGCGCCUGUGAAACUGGAAAAACAUCUGCACAGUGCUAGAUCUGAAGAAGGAAGAUUAUAUUAUGAUGGUGAAUGGUAUAUACGUGGACAAACAAUAUGUAUUGAUAAAAAAGAUGAAUGUCCUACAAGCCUUCCUCAUGUGAGAGUUGUUCGGAUACACAUAUUACCUAUUGCUACUCAGAACUCAGACACCACUCCAAGAACGUGUACACCUCACUGAUAAUUGUUCAAAAAGAAGAACAAGGAUGUCAGCUGUUAUUUCCAAGGUUUGGUUUGUGGACCGAAUAAGUUCAGUACACUAAAACUGAACUAAAAUGAAUUUAUAAGGUAAGAAAAGUGGAUGCAGGAUGAAUAUACUAGUUAGGAUUUAUGUAGUCUCGUGCCAAAUUGGAAUAUAAACUAUUUUAAUUGCUAAAGAUUAGGAAAUCUAAAAUGUUUUUAAAAAGCACAUGAAAGGUUAGAAUGGGGUAAGAGAAAAACGUUAUGUUCCUUACAUUGUCUUUAUGGAUGAACUCAGGAAUUGUGGCUGGUAGGUCAGGUGGGAUUAACUGAGGCAGUUUCCCCCAUUGGGUCACUGCGGCCCAGUCUUGCCCUUUACUUCACAGGCCCAGAAACUUGAACUUUAUAUGUCCUGUUAUGAGCUGAAUUGUGCCUCCCUCCUUCCACCCCCUCCACCAAAUUCAUAUGCUGAAGCAUUACCCCCCAGCACCUCAGAAUGUGACUGUAUUUGAAGAUAGGGUCCUUUAGAGAGGUUGAUCAGUUAAAAUGAGAUCAUUUCAGGGUAGAUCCUAAUCCAAUCUGACUGAUGUCCUUACAAGAAGAGGAAAUUUGGACAUCAGACAUGUGCACAGCGGGGAGACUCUGAGGAUAGAGCAAGGUAACUCUCUGCCAGCCAAGGAGAGAGCCCUCAGAAGAAACCAAACCUGCCAACACCUUGAUCCUGGACUUUAACAUCCAGCACUGUGAGGAAGUAAGUUUGCGUUGUUUAAGCCACCCAAGUCUACGGUAUCUUGUUACGGCAGCCCUGGCAAACUGAUACAUGCCCCAACGUGACAGCUUUCUGGGUAAGUCAGGCUGACUGACCCACAGUGGAUCGAAGGGGCAGCCAAGUGUCAAUUUAAUCAUUUAAAUUGGGAAGUAUAAAUGAGAAGGAGACCUGACUCCUCAAGUCAAUUCUUUCCUUCUAGGAAAAUCUGUGUAAAGCCACCUUGUGAUCAGAAGAUUUGUUUUGGUGAAACUUCAGAGUCUCCGGUUUCCUGAUGAGGACGUUGUGAGGCACACAAAGGUUAAGAAAUUGCCCGUGGUCACACAGCUGGUAAGUGGCAGAGUUCGCAGUUAGUCUUGCCCUGAAGGCCAUGAGUUUAAUCACAUACCCCAGCAUCCCUAAGGUCUGAAUUUGGGUGGAUCAUUGCAUGAAUCAAGGGUGGGAACACAAGAGGAGUACAGCUGGGACUGGGGGAGGGAUGCAAAGAAGAGAUAAUAUUUGUGUUUCUUUUUUAUGUGUUAAGUUCAAAAGGUGUGACGGCCAGAUGGAAAUGCCCAGCAGGUAACAAUAUAUAACUUGGGUGAGGGCAGAGAUUUAGAUUUGGGAUUGUGAGAGCACGAGUGGUAGCUAAAGUCAAUGAAGCGAGCAAAAACUUCUAAAAGGGCUUGAAAGGACGGCUUACACAGUGUGAAGGAAAACCAGCAAUAAAAGAGAAGGGAGAAGAAUGACGAUGAAAAUUAAUUAUCACCAGAAUCUGUGUUUCUGGUGAUAAAGAGAAAUAGGCACCCUUGUAUACUGUUAGUGGGAGUGUAAAUUGGUACAAUUUAUUUGCAGGAAAAUGUAGCAAUACCUAAUAAACUAUAAAAUCCCCCACCAGUUGACUAAGCAGUUUUACUUGAAAUUUGUGCUACAAGUAUACUCUUUCCCAGGGUCAAAACUAUAUGUCCAAAAGGAUUCACCUCAGCCUUGUUUGAUAAGAGAGAAGAAAGAAGGAAGGAAGGGAGAAAAUCUAACUGUUCAGCAGUUCCAUACGGUGGAAUUGCACAUGGUUGUUUCCGUAACAUGAAUACCCUGCAGUCAUUAAAAAGGAUGAAGGAGAUCUGUGGGGGCUGAUCUGGAAUGAUCACCACGACAUAUUAUAUCAAAAAAGAAAACGAGAAGUGCAGCAGCAUACACACACCGUUCCUUUACUGUAAAUAAUAGGUCCUGCUGUGCCCUAGUUUAUUCACUUGGCAGGAACAGAACCAAUAGAGGGCCAGAAUCUCAGAGAAUCUUUUAAAGCUCAAAAUGGAGGUAGAAAAAAGGGAAAGUCCAGAGAACCAGGUGAGGGAACAGGAGGCAUGUUGCAGGCAGAGUGGCCGGAAUGGCAGUGUCUCCUCGGGUCUCCCCCUGCCUUGGCACUCCUGCUCAGAGAGCGGCCUUGGGCCAUGACUGGUGCCGAGAGCUCCCUCAAGAGCUCCCUCGGGCUUGGGCCGUGACUGGGAGCAGAGAGGAGAGCUCCCCCUCCUACAUGCCUGACGACCCCUGAGUUGGGUUUCUGACCCUUGUAACAUUUAUCACAAACACUAGGGCUUCAUAUUCUGUUGAUUUUCAUCUUAAAAAGGAUAAUGAACUUUUGUAAUUUCACCACAAAUUCAAGGAAUAAAAACUAAAGAUAUUGGUAGUGUCGCAAAUGCACACGUGAGAAGGAGGAAACCAGGAACUGCCUGGCCCUCGCUGCUGGGCCUCGGCGUUCUCCUGUUGAAUAGAAACAAUCUCGUAAAGCACCCACAUCAAACAAGGCCACUCUGUGGCUGUGAUGAAGUGAGACAAAGAACACAAGACCUUCUCCCUCUUAUAAUCUUGUUUAACUAUAGAUAGAAACAAGGCCAGUCUGCAGACAACAAAAAUACUAAACCUGCCCCCUACUGCUAAUAUGACCAACUGCUGCUGCUUUAUCAAUUACAUCUUUGGCCUUGUUUCAUACCUCCUGUCUUAUAAAUAAGAUUAAUUAAGAUACACAAUCAUAGAAUUGCCCCCACUUCCUGACACUUCUUUGAACCCUACCAAAAACUUAUAUGAUACAAUUCUCUAGGUCCUUUUUUUUUUUUUUUUCCAACGUUUAUUUAUUUUUUUGGGACAGAGAGAGACAGAGCAUGAAUGGGGUAGGGGCAGAGAGAGAGGGAGACACAGAAUCGGA